rnacentral:rRNA from 1 species
AGGUUGUGGUCUUGAACCGUGGCUUCUGGAGCUAACGCGUUAAAUCGACGCCUGGGGGAGUACGGCCGCAAGGUUAAAACUCAAAUGAAUUGACGGGGGGCCCGCACAAGCGGUGGAGCAUGUGGUUUAAUUCGAUGCAACGCGAAGAACCUUACCUACUCUUGACAUCCAGCGAAUCCUUUAGAGAUAGAGGAGUGCCUUCGGGAACGCUGAGACAGG